rnacentral:rRNA from 1 species
AGAGUUUGAUCCUGGCUCAGGAUGAACGCUAGCUACAGGCUUAACACAUGCAAGUCGAGGGGAAACGACAUCGAAAGCUUGCUUUUGAGUGGGCGUCGACCGGCGCGACGGGUGAGUACGCGUAUCCAACCUGCCCACCACUUGGGGAUAACCUUGCGAAAGUAAGACUAAUACCCAAUGACGUCUCUAGAAGACAUCUGAAGGAGAUUAAAGAUUUAUCGGUGAUGGAUGGGGAUGCGUCUGAUUAGCUUGUUGGCGGGGUAACGGCCACCAAGGCGACGAUCAGUAGGGGUUCUGAGAGGAAGGUCCCCCACAUUGGAACUGAGACACGGUCCAAACUCCUACGGGAGGCA